UGCAGCAGUGAUGAUGGAGUCUCAUAAACCAUGUAUUAUGAUUAUUUUAAUUCUAUACAUCUUAGGUCAAU
rnacentral:snoRNA from 1 species